rnacentral:rRNA from 1 species
UUGACGGGACCGCACAAGCGGUGGAUGAUGUGGUUUAAUUCGAUGCAACGCGAAAAACCUUACCCACCUUUGACAUGUACGGAACUUACCAGAGAUGGUUUGGUGCUCGAAAGAGAGCCGUAACACAGGUGCUGCAUGGCUGUCGUCAGCUCGUGUCGUGAGAUGUUGGGUUAAGUCCCGCAACGAGCGCAACCCUUGUCAUUAGUUGCUACGAAAGGGCACUCUAAUGAGACUGCCGGUGACAAACCGGAGGAAGGUGGGGAUGACGUCAAGUCCUCAUGGCCCUUAUAGGUGGGGCUACACACGUCAUACAAUGGCUGGUACAAAGGGUUGCCAACCCGCGAGGGGGAGCCAAUCCCAUAAAGCCAGUCGUAGUCCGGAUCGCAGUCUGCAACUCGACUGCGUGAAGUCGGAAUCGCUAGUAAUCGUGGAUCAGCAUGUCACGGUGAAUACGUUCCCGGGCCUU